AAUGAACGCUGGCGGCGUGCCUAACACAUGCAAGUCGCACGAGAAAGGCUGGGUUUCGACUUGGCCGAGUAAAGUGGCGCACGGGUGAGUAACGCGUGGGUGACCUACCCUCGAAUCUGGGAUAACCUCGCGAAAGCGGGGCUAAUACCGGAUACGUCCCUUCGGGGAGAAAGCCGGCCUCUCGAAGAAGCUGGUGUUCGAGGAUGGGCCCGCGUCCUAUCAGCUGGUUGGUAGGGUAACGGCCUACCAAGGCGACGACGGGUAGCUGGUCUGAGAGGAUGAUCAGCCACACUGGCACUGGAACACGGGCCAGACUCCUACGGGAGGCAGCAGUGAGGAAUUUUGCGCAAUGGGAGCAAUCCUGACGCAGCAACGCCGCGUGGGUGAAGAAGGCCUUCGGGUCGUAAAGCCCUGUCAGGAGGGAAGAACCUCGGGGAGGCGAAGAGCCUUUUCGACUGACGGUACCUCCAGAGGAAGCACCGGCUAACUCCGUGCCAGCAGCCGCGGUAAUACGGAGGGUGCGAGCGUUAUUCGGAAUUACUGGGCGUAAAGCGCGUGUAGGCGGCAGGGCAAGUCUGGUGUGAAAGCCCGGGGCUCAACCCCGGAAGUGCAUUGGAAACUGCUCUGCUUGAGUACCGGAGA
rnacentral:rRNA from 1 species